GGGGCUGUGGCUCAGUGUCAGAGCAUUUGCUUGGCAUGUAUAAGGUGCCUGGUUCGAUCCCUGGCAUCUUCA
rnacentral:tRNA from 1 species